UACGUAGGGGGCAAGCGUUGUCCGGAAUUAUUGGGCGUAAAGAGCGUGUAGGCGGCCAGAUAAGUCCGCUGUGAAAUCUCGAGGCUCAACUUCGAGCUGUCGGUGGAAACUAUCUGGCUAGAGUCCGGAAGAGGAGAAUGGAAUUCCUGGUGUAGCGGUGAAAUGCGCAGAUAUCAGGAAGAACACCCGUGGCGAAGGCGGUUCUCUGGGACGGUACUGACGCUGAGACGCGAAAGCAUGGGGAGCGAACAGG
rnacentral:rRNA from 1 species